CGCACAUUGCGCCCCUUGGUAUUCCGAGGGGCAUGCCUGUUCGAGCGUCAUUACACCACUCAAGCACUGCUUGGUAUUGGGCACUCGUCCGUCGAAAGGCGGGCGUGCCUCGAAGACCUCGGCGGGGCCUCACCGGCUUCGGGCGUAGUAGAGUUAAAUCGAACGUCUUAUAAGCUUGGGGAGACCUCAUUGCCGUUAAACCUUUUAUUUUCUAGGUUGACCUCGGAUCAGGUAGGGAUACCCGCUGAACUUAA
rnacentral:misc_RNA from 1 species